UGACACUAUGGUUAGUCAGUGUCCGAAUAGAGUUGGAUCGUUGUACACCUAAUUGGUGUCAUGGGAAUCAGAGAUAGUCCUCCAGGUUUUAAGUAUAAUCCUCUCUAGAAGACAAAUGAUCUGGGGACACAUCUUAGUAGCAGAUGCCGGACUGAGUAUGACCAUUCCCCUCAAUGUUACAGGUGGUGAUACUGGGUCGUGGGCCCCCAACUCCUCCCUUGAAGCGUAUCAGGACCACCAUGUUGCCCACCUCCUCAGGGGCUAAUCAGUAAUACAUACACAACUUCACAAAGAGUUCUCAUUAAUUCCUCAUCAUUUCCUGAUUGAUUGCUCUGCGUCUCAGAAAAGACUGACAAUAUAGUCACAGGAGAUGAUAGUAUCUUACCACUGACUUAAAGACAAGAGCAGAAGAUACCUUCGUAAAAGGUGAAAGAUUUUCGUGAUCUGAUGGAGAUUUGAUUAUUGGCUGGCAACCCGUAGGAAGCAUUUC
rnacentral:lncRNA from 13 species